rnacentral:rRNA from 1 species
AUUGAACGCUGGCGGCAUGCUUUACACAUGCAAGUCGAACGGAAGCGCGGGCUUCGGCCUGGCGGCGAGUGGCGAACGGGUGAGUAAUAAAUCGGAACGUGCCCAGUAGAGGGGGAUAGCUCGGCGAAAGCAGGAUUAAUACCGCAUACGACCUGAGGGUGAAAGCGGGGGAUCUUAGGACCUCGCGCUAUUGGAGCGGCCGAUGGCAGAUUAGCUAGUUGGUGGGGUAAAGGCCUACCAAGGCGACGAUCUGUAGCUGGUCUGAGAGGACGACCGGCCACACUGGGACUGAGACACGGCCCAGACUCCUACGGGAGGCAGCAGUGGGGAAUUUUGCGCAAUGGGCGAAAGCCUGAUCCAGCAAUGCCGCGUGUGUGAUGAAGGCCUUCGGGUUGUAAAGCACUUUUGGCGGGAACGAAAAGGACUGUGCCAAUACCACGGUUCGAUGACGGUACCCGCAGAAUAAGCACCGGCUAACUACGUG